rnacentral:rRNA from 1 species
CGCUUUUUGAUUUAUAAAAAUAGAAGGUCCUGCCUGCCCAGUGACACCUGUUCAACGGCCGCGGUAUUAUGACCGUGCAAAGGUAGCGUAAUCACUUGUCCUUUAAAUAAAGACCAGUAUGAACGGCAAGACGAGAGCCUAACUGUCUCUCCAUAUUAGUCAAUGAAAUUGAUUUUUCCGUGCAGAAGCGGAAAUAAUGUUAUAAGACGAGAAGACCCUGUGGAGCUUUAAGUUAAAAUUAGCUAUUUAAUAUAGUAUAGCCAAAAACUUUAGGUUGGGGCGACCGCGAGGCAUAAUAAAACCCUCAAGAUAAAACCAUAGAGGGACACUUCAAAUAAACAAAAUAUUGAUAUAUUGACCCAAAAAAUUGAUCAACGAACCAAGUUACCCCAGGGAUAACAGCGCAAUCCACUCAAAGAGUCCUUAUCGACGAGCGGGUUUACGACCUCGAUGUUGGAUCAGGACCCCCAAAUAAUGUAACAAUUAUUAAAGGUUCGUUUGUUCAACGAUUAAA